UGUCGUCAGCUCGUGUCGUGAGAUGUUGGGUUAAGUCCCGUAACGAGCGCAACCCUUGUCCUUAGUUACCAGCACGUAAUGGUGGGCACUCUAAGGAGACUGCCGGUGACAAACCGGAGGAAGGUGGGGAUGACGUCAAGUCAUCAUGGCCCUUACGGCCUGGGCUACACACGUGCUACAAUGGUCGGUACAGAGGGUUGCCAAGCCGCGAGGUGGAGCUAAUCCCACAAAACCGAUCGUAGUCCGGAUCGCAGUCUGCAACUCGACUGCGUGAAGUCGGAAUCGCUAGUAAUCGCGAAUCAGAAUGUCGCGGUGAAUACGUUCCCGGG
rnacentral:rRNA from 1 species